rnacentral:lncRNA from 1 species
AUCAACAAUAAGAACAAUAUUUUUAUCUGGCCUCAACCCCUUUGAACAUAGGAAGAUUACAUUUUGUGUUUUUGGCUCAAUAAUGAGCAAUUGCCAAUGAUGACUACAUUGAGAAACAAAAAUUAAAUGUGUCAACUUCAAUUCUUUCUAAUCAGGGUCCUAUAUGCUCCUACAGUGCUAUUGUAUAUGUAUAAUUGAUCCUAAAAUUAAACCAUCAUUCUCUUUCUAAUUCUAGUUCUAGUUAGAAUAAUUCUGAUUCCUAAUUAGAAUAACUAGUAAAAAGUGUAAAACCCUAAAUUUCAACCAAGCAGUCCAGAAUCAAGUUCCAAUUAAACAACAUAACCUU